UACGAAGGGGGCUAGCGUUGUUCGGAAUUACUGGGCGUAAAGCGCGCGCAGGCGGUCUUCCAAGUCAGUGGUGAAAGCCCGGAGCUCAACUCCGGAACUGCCAUUGAAACUGUAAGACUUGAGGACGAGAGAGGUGAGUGGAAUUCCGAGUGUAGAGGUGAAAUUCGUAGAUAUUCGGAGGAACACCAGUGGCGAAGGCGGCUCACUGGCUCGACACUGACGCUGAGGUGCGAAAGCGUGGGGAGCAAACAGG
rnacentral:rRNA from 1 species